GGGAGCGUGGCCGAGAGGUUUAAGGCGUCAGGAUCAGAACCUGAUUUUCUCCAUGAGAUUCCCUGGGUUCGAACCCCAGCGCUCCCA
rnacentral:tRNA from 1 species